AAGUUUUCCCCUGGAUAGCUGGUGCAUUUAAAAAUUAUGUAAGACAAUCUUAUCUGGUAAAGCGAAUUAUUAGAGGCUUUUAAAUGGGUAAGAACCACACCUUUCUUGGUAAGAAGGUGUGGCUGUUAUAUAAUGUGCCCAGUGGACCACUUUUGGUAAGUAGAACUGGCGCUGUGGGAUGAAGCAAACGUAAUGUUACGGUACCCUGCCAAUACCAAAUUUGAAACAAUUCCGGUGAAUAAACUCGCUAAAAUCGUCAAAACACCGAAUA
rnacentral:rRNA from 1 species